UUAAGCGACUAAGCGUACACGGUGGAUGCCCUGGCAGUCAGAGGCGAUGAAGGACGUGCUAAUCUGCGAAAAGCGUCGGUAAGGUGAUAUGAACCGUUAUAACCGGCGAUGUCCGAAUGGGGAAACCCAGUGUGAUUCGUCACACUAUCGUUAACUGAAUACAUAGGUUAACGAGGCGAACCGGGGGAACUGAAACAUCUAAGUACCCCGAGGAAAAGAAAUCAACCGAGAUUCCCCCAGUAGCGGCGAGCGAACGGGGAGCAGCCCAGAGUCUGAAUCAGCUUGUGUGUUAGUGGAACGGUCUGGAAAGUCCGACGGUACAGGGUGAUAGUCCCGUACACCAAAAUGCACAGGUUGUGAACUCGAAGAGUAGGGCGGGACACGUGGUAUCCUGUCUGAAUAUGGGGGGACCAUCCUCCAAGGCUAAAUACUCCUGACUGACCGAUAGUGAACCAGUACCGUGAGGGAAAGGCGAAAAGAACCCCGGCGAGGGGAGUGAAAAAGAACCUGAAACCGUGUACGUACAAGCAGUGGGAGCACCUUCGGGUGUGACUGCGUACCUUUUGUAUAAUGGGUCAGCGACUUAUAUUCUGUAGCAAGGUUAACCGUAUAGGGGAGCCGCAGGGAAACCGAGUCUUAACUGGGCGUUAAGUUGCAGGGUAUAGACCCGAAACCCGGUGAUCUAGCCAUGGGCAGGUUGAAGGUUGGGUAACACUAACUGGAGGACCGAACCGACUAAUGUUGAAAAAUUAGCGGAUGACUUGUGGCUGGGGGUGAAAGGCCAAUCAAACCGGGAGAUAGCUGGUUCUCCCCGAAAGCUAUUUAGGUAGCGCCUCGUGAACUCAUCUUCGGGGGUAGAGCACUGUUUCGGCUAGGGGGUCAUCCCGACUUACCAACCCGAUGCAAACUACGAAUACCGAAGAAUGUUAUCACGGGAGACACACGGCGGGUGCUAACGUCCGUCGUGAAGAGGGAAACAACCCAGACCGCCAGCUAAGGUCCCAAAGUCAUGGUUAAGUGGGAAACGAUGUGGGAAGGCACAGACAGCCAGGAUGUUGGCUUAGAAGCAGCCAUCAUUUAAAGAAAGCGUAAUAGCUCACUGGUCGAGUCGGCCUGCGCGGAAGAUGUAACGGGGCUAAACCAUGCACCGAAGCUGCGGCAGCGACACUAUGUGUUGUUGGGUAGGGGAGCGUUCUGUAAGCCUGCGAAGGUGUGCUGUGAGGCAUGCUGGAGGUAUCAGAAGUGCGAAUGCUGACAUAAGUAACGAUAAAGCGGGUGAAAAGCCCGCUCGCCGGAAGACCAAGGGUUCCUGUCCAACGUUAAUCGGGGCAGGGUGAGUCGACCCCUAAGGCGAGGCCGAAAGGCGUAGUCGAUGGGAAACAGGUUAAUAUUCCUGUACUUGGUGUUACUGCGAAGGGGGGACGGAGAAGGCUAUGUUAGCCGGGCGACGGUUGUCCCGGUUUAAGCAUGUAGGCUGGUUAUCCAGGCAAAUCCGGAUAAUCAAGGCUGAGGUGUGAUGACGAGGCACUACGGUGCUGAAGUAACAAAUGCCCUGCUUCCAGGAAAAGCCUCUAAGCAUCAGGUAACAUCAAAUCGUACCCCAAACCGACACAGGUGGUCAGGUAGAGAAUACCAAGGCGCUUGAGAGAACUCGGGUGAAGGAACUAGGCAAAAUGGUGCCGUAACUUCGGGAGAAGGCACGCUGGUGUGUAGGUGAAGUCCCUGCGGAUGGAGCUGAGACCAGUCGAAGAUACCAGCUGGCUGCAACUGUUUAUUAAAAACACAGCACUGUGCAAACACGAAAGUGGACGUAUACGGUGUGACGCCUGCCCGGUGCCGGAAGGUUAAUUGAUGGGGUUAUCCGUAAGGAGAAGCUCUUGAUCGAAGCCCCGGUAAACGGCGGCCGUAACUAUAACGGUCCUAAGGUAGCGAAAUUCCUUGUCGGGUAAGUUCCGACCUGCACGAAUGGCGUAAUGAUGGCCAGGCUGUCUCCACCCGAGACUCAGUGAAAUUGAACUCGCUGUGAAGAUGCAGUGUACCCGCGGCAAGACGGAAAGACCCCGUGAACCUUUACUAUAGCUUGACACUGAACAUUGAGCCUUGAUGUGUAGGAUAGGUGGGAGGCUUUGAAGCGUGGACGCCAGUCUGCGUGGAGCCAACCUUGAAAUACCACCCUUUAAUGUUUGAUGUUCUAACGUUGGCCCCUGACCGGGGUUGCGGACAGUGUCUGGUGGGUAGUUUGACUGGGGCGGUCUCCUCCCAAAGCGUAACGGAGGAGCACGAAGGUUAGCUAAUCCUGGUCGGACAUCAGGAGGUUAGUGCAAUGGCAUAAGCUAGCUUGACUGCGAGCGUGACGGCGCGAGCAGGUGCGAAAGCAGGUCAUAGUGAUCCGGUGGUUCUGAAUGGAAGGGCCAUCGCUCAACGGAUAAAAGGUACUCCGGGGAUAACAGGCUGAUACCGCCCAAGAGUUCAUAUCGACGGCGGUGUUUGGCACCUCGAUGUCGGCUCAUCACAUCCUGGGGCUGAAGUAGGUCCCAAGGGUAUGGCUGUUCGCCAUUUAAAGUGGUACGCGAGCUGGGUUUAGAACGUCGUGAGACAGUUCGGUCCCUAUCUGCCGUGGGCGCUGGAGAAUUGAGGGGGGCUGCUCCUAGUACGAGAGGACCGGAGUGGACGCAUCACUGGUGUUCGGGUUGUCAUGCCAAUGGCACUGCCCGGUAGCUAAAUGCGGAAGAGAUAAGUGCUGAAAGCAUCUAAGCACGAAACUUGCCCCGAGAUGAGUUCUCCCUGAGACUAUAAGUCUCCUGAAGGAACGUUAAAGACGAUGACGUUGAUAGGCCGGGUGUGUAAGCGCAGCGAUGCGUUGAGCUAACCGGUACUAAUGAACCGUGAGGCUUAACCUU
rnacentral:rRNA from 1 species